rnacentral:tRNA from 1 species
CGGAACGUAACUCAGUUGGUAGAGUAGCUAAACUAUUAGAUUGUCGCAGGUUCGAGUCCUGCCGUUCCGA